UAAAAUUAAAAAAUUUGGCGGUAUUUUAGUCUUUUCAGAGGAACCUGUUCUGUAAUUGAUAGUCCACGAUUAAUUUUACUUAUUUUAUAAAUUUAUAUAUCGUCGUAGCUUGAAUGUUUUUAAAGAAUUUUAAAUGUUCAUUAUAUAUAAUUAUAUAGUAAAUCAGAUCAAGGUGUAGUUUAUAAAUAAGAAGAAAUGGGUUACAUUAAAUUUAUUUAUUGGAUAAAUUUAUUAAAUUGAAUUUUGAAAUUGGAUUUGAUUGUAAUUUUUAAUAUUUUUUAAAGAUGAUUAUAGCUCUAAAAUAUGUACAUAUUGCCCGUCGCUUUCAUUUUAAGGUGAAAUAAGUCGUAACAAAGUAGACUUACUGGAAAGUGAGUCUAGAGG
rnacentral:rRNA from 1 species